GGCAGCGGCGGAGGAGGAGGGGAAGCCGCCGAGGAGGAGCCGCCCCCGCUCUGGUGAUGGGGGCUGGGGAUCUCCGGGCUCUGCAGGCUGCUGAAGCCAGAGCCGAGCCCGCCGGGCAGGAGGUUCCCGGGGCUGCCCAGAGGCGGCGGCCACCCCCACAUUGGGGUCCGCGGACGGCGAUCCCCCCGGGCAGCAAGGGGCGAGCCGCUCCGAACCCCCCCUGUCCGCGCCGCCCUGGUGCUCGGCGGGGCCGACUGGCCGAUGGUGCGAGUGAUCUCCCGUCCGCGGCGGCUCCGGGGGCUGAGCGCUGAGGAGCUGGUGCUGCUGCUGUUGCCUGUGCUCCUGCUGCUGCAGCGACCGCUGAGGGGAAACAGGGAGGGCAGCGGCGACCCGGCGACCGGACGAACCGGCUACAGCGGGCGGCAAGGGGCAGGAGGAAUGAGGCGAGGCGGCUGCGGCCGCUCCGGGGAGGGGAAGGACCCGGCGGUGGGCAGAGGCUGGGGUGGCCGACUGCGGGAGCUACCCUGACGCCGGCUCGGCACAGAGUAAGGUGGCCCUUCCCGCCUGCAGUCGCACCCACAGGGAUCCACUAGAUCAGGAAUUCGCCCGGACAGGUCACUGUCCCCGGACAGAAACUCCUCCGUCCGACCCCCCUGCCGCCACACCGCAACGCAGGGGAACAGUGGGGCAUUCCCGGGCCUGGCACUGGCGGAGAGGGAAGGCGGGGAAGCCGCCGGUACCUCCACAGGGCAAGCGACCCGGUCUCCUCAGCGAGGCUCCUGCCCCCGCCCCGCUGUCGGCUCGGAGCCGCCGCGGCGCCCUUAAGAGCGCCGGAACAUCCGUCACAGUGACGUCACAGGCACCGCCCCAGCCCGGCGGGCCCUGGUAAUGAGACUGUGGGCCUGCCCCAUCAUGAAUAAUGGAUCCGGCCGGGAGCCCGCCCCCAGACCGGCCGGCUGGGUGCUACCACUUCAGCCAGGGGAGGUGCCAGCCCUGUGGGCCGCUUGGGUAAGGAAGGCUCUCUCUGCUCUUCGAUUACCUAUCUAUCGUCAAGCGAAAAACACGUGAAAUAAAGAGAUUUGAUUUCGUUUUGCAGCAGCGGCUGCGAUCGGCUUUAAUCCCAACAGACUGAGCAGGGGCAGCCGCAACGCCAGCUUCUCCUGCCGCCUGUGAUCCCGUCAGGAGCUCACUCGGGCCGAG